ACGGAGGGUGCAAGCGUUAUCCGGAUUUAUUGGGUUUAAAGGGUGCGCAGGCGGAAUUUUAAGUCAGUGGUGAAAGCCCAAGGCUCAACCUUGGAACUGCCAUUGAUACUGAAAUUCUUGAGUGUGGUUGAUGUGGGCGGAAUGUGCCAUGUAGCGGUGAAAUGCUUAGAUAUGGCACAGAACACCGAUCGUGAAGACAGCUCACAAAACCAUUACUGACGCUCAGGCACGAAAGCGUGGGGAUCAAACAGG
rnacentral:rRNA from 1 species